GUGUGACAGGGUGAGACUGGGUGUGACAGGGUGAGACAGGGUGAGAAGGUGUGACAGGGUGAGACUAGGUGUGACAGGGUGUGACAGGGUGAGACUGGGUGUGACAGGGUGAGACUAGGUGUGACAGGGUGAGACUGGGUGUGACAGGGUGAGACUGGGUGUGACAGGGUGAGACUAGGUGAGAUCGGGUGAGACAGGGUGAGACGGUGUGACAGGGUGAGACUGGGUUAGACAGGGUGAGACAGGGUGAGACUGGGUGUGACAGGGUGAGACUAGGUGUGACAGGGUGAGACUGGGUGAGACAGGGUGAGACGGUGUGACAGGGUGAGACUGGGUGAGACAGGGUGAGACUGGGUGUGACAGGGUGAGACAGGGUGAGACUGGAUGAGACUGGGUGUGACAGGGCUAGACGGCAUGACAGGGCGAGACAGGGUGAGAAGGUGUGACAGGGUGAGACUAGGUGAGAAGGUGUGACGGGGUGAGACUAGGUGUGACAGGGUGAGACUGGGUGUGACAG
ensembl:lncRNA